GACGAACGCGGCGGCGUGCCUAAUACAUGCAAGUCGAGGAAGUUUUUCUGGUGCUUGCACUAGAAAAACUUAGCGGCGAACGGGUGAGUAACACGUAAAGAACCUGCCUCAUAGACUGGGACAACUAUUGGAAACGAUAGCUAAUACCGGAUAACAGUAUUCUCGCAUGAGAGAUAUUUAAAAGUUGGUUAUGCUAACACUAUGAGAUGGCUUUGCGGUGCAUUAGCUAGUUGGUGGGGUAAAGGCCCACCAAGGCGACGAUGCAUAGCCGACCUGAGAGGGUGAUCGGCCACACUGGGACUGAGACACGGCCCAGACUCCUACGGGAGGCAGCAGUAGGGAAUCUUCCGCAAUGGGCGAAAGCCUGACGGAGCAACGCCGCGUGAGUGAAGAAGGAUUUCGGUUCGUAAAGCUCUGUUGUUAGGGAAGAAUGGAUAUGUAG
rnacentral:rRNA from 1 species